rnacentral:rRNA from 1 species
AUGUUCUGGUGGAGGAAGGAUAGAAAAAUGGAUUCUGCACGUACUGUUUGUAAUGUGAUGCAGAGACAUGGUUGUUUACCAGACACCGUGACAUACAAUGUAUUGAUCAAGGGCUAUUGCACAAUUGGUAAUACUGAUAAGUCAAUGUCCAUGCUGAUCAAUAUGUUUGAGGGCAGAGCUACAGCUACACUUCUGACACACAACACCAUCAUCAAAGGAUACUGUGACUCAGGGAAUACUGCUGCUGAUGAUGAUGAGUGGUCUUAUACUCAACUGAUCUUUGGCUUUUGCAAGAUGGGUGAAAUGGAAUCAGCUUAUCAAAUGUUCAAUGAAAUGAGGGACCAUGGGUUUUGCCCAAAUGAAGUUACCUACACUGCACCCAUAAGUGGAUACUGCAAGGACGAGAAACUGGAAUGUGCAACAAGAAUGUUUGAACACAUGAAAAUAAGUGGUUGCAGACCAACUGUGCAGACUUGCAAUGUUUUAAUCCAUGGUCUAACUAAGCAUAAUAUUUUUUCUGCUGUACAGGAACUAUUGAUGAUGCUUGAAGAAAAUAUAUCACCAAAUGUAGUCACUUACACUACUAUAAUUGAUGGGUUAUGCAAAAAUGGGGCCGCAUCUUUGGCCCUUGAAAUGUUCAACAGGAUGGUUGAGCAUAACUGCUCACCUAAUUUGCAUAUUUACAGUUCUCUUAUCCAAGCUCUGGGUCAAGAAGGCAAGGUAGAGGAAGCUGAGGAAUUGUUUACAGAAUUGUGA